rnacentral:lncRNA from 1 species
AUGCUGCUGCGCCCAGGCUCUCUGCGUCCCCCCCGCGCCGCGCUCCGCCGCGAACCCCGAACGUGCGGAGGGAAGAAGGAGGGCGGGCGAGGGAGGCUCGCGGAGGGAGGAGCGCAGGGGGGAGGAGGAGGCAGAGAAGGAGGAGGAGGAGGAGGAGGAGGAGGAAGAGGAGGACCGCGCUGCCGGCGGAAUGGGAAGUUUGACAAAUCGCUCCAGAGGCCGGAGGAGGAGGGGGCGGGGAGGAGAGGCGGCCCUGCCCACCCCCCCCCCGCCCCCCCCCCCCGCGCCCCGUCCCCUGACGAGGAGCUGAGAGAACAGGCAAGCCGUCCUCGGAAACCCGUUUGGAUGAUGGCGGGCAGAACUGCAGCUCUGCAGAGAGAGACGCCAGCCAGCGUGCAGAAGUGGAAGACAGAAUCUUGCUCUAUCACUCAGCUGGAAUGCAGCGGCACCAUUCCAGCUUACUGCAGCCUCAAACUCCUGGCUCAAGGGAUCCUUCAGCCUCAGCCUCCUGAUUAGCUAGGACUACAGGUGGCAUCACCAUUUUCUCAUGCUGGACAACAUGGAGUCAACACUGAUUCUCCACUGACAUCAAAUCUAUUA